rnacentral:lncRNA from 1 species
UCUUGUGAGUCCUGGAGGGAACGCUGCAGUGGGGGCUAGUUGUGGGCAGAAUAAAGGUGGUUUCUGGAAAUAUGGAUUCCUGCCAGAGUGAGUGCUGCUUAGGUCUGUACAACGGACACUUGGUCAUGUGUACGCUAAACUUCUUUGUGCCUGAGAAUCUCUCUCCUGCAGCUUCCAGAUGCAGGGAUUGGUACUGAGGAAAGGCCAUGUGGGCAGGCAGCAAGAAGGCAGCCAUCUGGAAGCUAGGAAGAAAAUCCUUACCAGAACCCAACCAUUUUGGCACCCUAAUCUCAGACUUCCAGCCUCCUCGAA